UACGGGGGGGUGCGAGCGUUUGUCCGGAAUCACUGGGCGUAAAGGGCGCGUAGGUGGUUUUGAUAAGGGUGUGGUGAAAAGUCCGGGGGCUCAACCCCCGGAUCUGCCGUGCCGACUGUCAAAACUCGAGGACUGUAGAGGCAGACGGAAUUCCGGGUGUAGCGGUGGAAUGCGUAGAGAUCCGGAGGAAGACCGGUGGCGAAGGCGGUCUGCUGGGCAGUUUCUGACACUGAGGCGCGACAGCGUGGGGGAGCAAACAGG
rnacentral:rRNA from 1 species